UGCGGAGGGGGCUAGCGUUGUUCGGAAUUACUGGGCGUAAAGCGUACGUAGGCGGCUUUGUAAGUUAGAGGUGAAAGCCCGGGGCUCAACCCCGGAAUUGCCUUUAAGACUGCAUCGCUUGAACGUCGGAGAGGUGAGUGGAAUUCCGAGUGUAGAGGUGAAAUUCGUAGAUAUUCGGAAGAACACCAGUGGCGAAGGCGGCUCACUGGACGACUGUUGACGCUGAGGCGCGAAAGCUAGGGGAGCAAACGGG
rnacentral:rRNA from 1 species